ensembl:lncRNA
GUGUGUUGUCUUAAGUACCACUGUACGAUGAGAUUUUGUUUAAGGACUUGUUCCAUUUUGGACUUAAUGAACCCAUUAAAUCACAGUUACCUGGAGGGGAAUUUAAUGGCAGGUUGAGGGACAUCAUGGACUAUGCUCUUUUGUUGUGUGGCUCUCCGUUCACUGUGGGUGAGGCAGAGGACGGUGUUGAAACCCCAAUUUUUUUUUUUCUUUUGGGGGGGGCAACAUUGUCAAGCGCCGAUAGCAGCAGAGCUUGAACCACCAGAGCCAUUGCACAAGAUGGCCACCAAUCCUGAGCUCGCUCCUUGUGAGCACCCUCCAGAGCCUGCUCCUCGCAUGCACCCUCUAGAGGGAGGUUGGGUCAUGGCACUUCCUCCAGAAAUGGCAGCCACAGCUGACCUUCACAAGUCAAGCCACUGCUGAACUUCCAGAGUCUCGUCACGUCACAACAGAUCAUCCAGGGUCACAUCACUUCACAGCUGAUCUUCCAGAGGCUCAUGACAUCUUGUCUGUUGCACCCAGAGCCUGGAGGUCAGCUCUUCAGUAUCCCAGACUGGCAUCCAGCAUGGAGGAUCCACCGCUGCUGUCAGUAAGAGCAGCUGGUAUCCCUAAACUAGUGCGCUCAGUCCCUCCUGUUCAGGAACUCAUUCCCUUGCCUGCAGCAUUUCCCAUGUGGGGGAUUGCUUUGUUGCGUUUGGGCUGCGUAUAACACCACAGAACUGCCUGAGGUGGGGACGUCCAUUGUAAUGUCUCCAGAGGUGGUGGCUGAUGCUACAGAACCUCUUGGGGUAAUGACACUCGCUGCUGUCUUCUCUGAAGCGAUGGCACUCGCUGCAGUUUCUCCAGAGGCGGCGGCACAUGCUGCAGAACCUUACGAAAUGGAGGUGCUUGCUUCAGCUCCUUGUAUGGUGGUGGCGCCCAGCAAUGUUCUCUCAGCCUGUUGUGUUGCUGUCAAAGAGACUGUUACUGCUGUGGAACCUCCAGAGGUGUCAGUACUAUCCACUUACGAAUCCUCGUCCUGUCCUGUCAUAGCUAUGGUGGCCGUCUUUGAACUCACUGCCUGUCUUGUUACGGCUAUGGAGGCCAUCUGUGAACUUUCUACCUGCCUUAUCCUGGCCACGGAGGCCGCCAUUAAUCUGUUUGUUCUCUGUUACAGUCCUACCUGACCAGACUUGCUCUCCUGUGCCAUUGACUCCACUGUGGUGGUCCUCUGCUCCGCCCUGGUGGGCUCCUGCCUCGCCAGUCUCAACCUGGCUCUCUGCUUUGCCUGCUCCUCACUGGUGGUCUUCGGCUCUGCCCUGGCACCCUGCUCUGCCUCCCUCCUCUGUCCAUCCACUUCCACAUGGACCUGGCCCUCCAUCCCUCCCCCUGUUCUGCCUCUGCUCCACCUCCCACCUGAACUUUGGUCUGUUCUCAGUUAGGAGCGUCUGGAAGCCCCUUUGACCACUGCUCUUGUUUUUCGACUCUGUUUAUGCUGAUUGCUGCCUGCCCCG